rnacentral:rRNA from 1 species
GACGAACGCUGGCGGCGUGCCUAAUACAUGCAAGUAGAACGCUGAAGAGAGGAGCUUGCUCUUCUUGGAUGAGUUGCGAACGGGUGAGUAACGCGUAGGUAACCUGCCUUGUAGCGGGGGAUAACUAUUGGAAACGAUAGCUAAUACCGCAUAACAAUGGAUGACACAUGUCAUUUAUUUGAAAGGGGCAAUUGCUCCACUACAAGAUGGACCUGCGUUGUAUUAGCUAGUAGGUGAGGUAACGGCUCACCUAGGCGACGAUACAUAGCCGACCUGAGAGGGUGAUCGGCCACACUGGGACUGAGACACGGCCCAGACUCCUACGGGAGGCAGCAGUGGGGAAUCUUCGGCAAUGGGGGCAACCCUGACCGAGCAACGCCGCGUGAGUGAAGAAGGUUUUCGGAUCGUAAAGCUCUGUUGUAAGUCAAGAACGAGUGUGAGAGUGGAAAGUUCACACUGUGACGGUAGCUUACCAGAAAGGGACGGCUAACUACGUGCCAGCAGCCGCGGUAAUACGUAGGUCCCGAGCGUUGUCCGGAUUUAUUGGGCGUAAAGCGAGCGCAGGCGGUUUGAUAAGUCUGAAGUUAAAGGCUGUGGCUCAACCAUAGUUCGCUUUGGAAACUGUCAAACUUGAGUGCAGAAGGGGAGAGUGGAAUUCCAUGUGUAGCGGUGAAAUGCGUAGAUAUAUGGAGGAACACCGGUGGCGAAAGCGGCUCUCUGGUCUGUAACUGACGCUGAGGCUCGAAAGCGUGGGGAGCGAACAGGAUUAGAUACCCUGGUAGUCCACGCCGUAAACGAUGAGUGCUAGGUGUUGGAUCCUUUCCGGGAUUCAGUGCCGCAGCUAACGCAUUAAGCACUCCGCCUGGGGAGUACGACCGCAAGGUUGAAACUCAAAGGAAUUGACGGGGGCCCGCACAAGCGGUGGAGCAUGUGGUUUAAUUUGAAGCAACGCGAAGAACCUUGCCAGGUCUUGACAUCCCGAUGCUAUUUCUAGAGAUAGAAAGUUACUUCGGUACAUCGGUGACAGGUGGUGCAUGGUUGUCGUCAGCUCGUGUCGUGAGAUGUUGGGUUAAGUCCCGCAACGAGCGCAACCCCUAUUGUUAGUUGCCAUCAUUCAGUUGGGCACUCUAGCGAGACUGCCGGUAAUAAACCGGAGGAAGGUGGGGAUGACGUCAAAUCAUCAUGCCCCUUAUGACCUGGGCUACACACGUGCUACAAUGGUUGGUACAACGAGUUGCGAGUCGGUGACGGCAAGCUAAUCUCUUAAAGCCAAUCUCAGUUCGGAUUGUAGGCUGCAACUCGCCUACAUGAAAGUUCGAAAUCGCUAGUAAUCGCGGAUCAGCUCGCCGCGGUGAAUACGUUUCCCGGGCCU